rnacentral:rRNA from 1 species
ACUCAAAUGAAUUGACGGGGGUUCGCACAAGCGGUGGAACAUGUGGUUUAAUUCGACACUACGCGAGGAACCUUACCUGGGCUUGACAUGUAAUCGCUACUGGUAGAAAUAUCGGGUUCUGUAGCAAUACAGACGGUUACACAGGUGCUGCAUGGCUGUCGUCAGCUCGUGUCGUGAGACGUCGGGUUAAGUCCUUGAACGAGCGCAACCCUUGCCGCUAGUUGCUCGCCAGCAAUGGAAGCACUCUAGCGGGACUGCCUGGGAAACCAGGAGGAAGGUGGGGAUGACGUCAAGUCCUCAUGGCCCUUAUGUCCAGGGCUACACACGUGUUACAAUGGCGAGGAACAAAGGGAACGCGAAGUCGCAAGAUGGAGCAAAUCCUUCAAAAUUCGUCUAAGUUCAGAUUGUAGUCUGAAACCCGACUACAUGAAGUUGAAAUCGCUAGUAAUCGCAUAUCAGAACGAUGCGGUGAAUACGUUCUCGAACCUUGUACACACCGCCCGU